GGCGAAUAGCGGGGAGUGUAUUACUAAACUCAAUGCUCACAAACUCUUUUCGGCUCACCGCACACGCUGCAGAAUCCAAAAAAAAGUAGAGUGUAACGUAACCUGAUCUCAUUGACCAAAUUCGGAAUUGUCAUAGAUGACGAUAAAUGAACGAUAAGAGUGCGUUCUAGUCACGAAAACUUUAAUCGUUCCAUUACUAUUCCACGAGUGUGUCACGUGGUAAAUCAAUAAUAAGUGUAAACUCAUUCCUGAUUCAUCAAUCAAUCAAGAACUUAAAAAAUGCAAGACCCCAACGAAGAUACCGAAUGGAAUGACAUCCUCAGGCGGAAAGGCAUUAUUCCAGAAAAACAAAAGGAAAAGGAAAUAAGCGAAGAUCAAAUUGUCGAUCUCCUGGAAAAUACGAUAGACAAGAAAACAGGACGAGCUGCAAAUAAUUUGGAAGAUGCAAGCCUCGACGAAUUGGAUGAACUGGAGGACGAAGAAGAUGAGAGAGUCCUGUUGGAAUAUCGUAGGAAAAGGAUAGCUGAAAUUCAAGCUUUAUCUAGCAAAGCCAAGUACGGCAGUGUCUCGGAGAUCUCGGCUCAGGAUUAUGUGCAGGAAGUCAAUCAAGCUGGAGAAGGUGUCUGGGUCAUACUUCAUUUGUACAAACCAGGUAUUCCCCUGUGCUCUUUGAUCAACCAAUACUUGGCGUCUCUGGCAAGGAAAUAUCCGGCAACAAAAUUCCUGAAAAGUGUCUCAAACACAUGCAUACCGAACUGGCCAGACAAAAACUUGCCAACGCUAUUCAUUUACCACGAAGGUGCAAUGAAAAAACAGAUCAUUGGACCGAUCGAAUUACGGGGCAUGAAACUCACUGAGGAAGAACUCGAGUGGAUGCUGGGCCAAGCAGAGGCGGUCCCAACCAAAAUAACGGAAGAUCCUCGACCCAAAGUCCGCGAUGUGUUGUUCUCAAACUUGAAGAACCAAACCGACGAUCUUGCAGAGGAUAACGACUGGUGACAGCAUGGUCUUGGGUGAAAAGGGCAUUUCAGUAUUUCCGCCUUAAUAAAUUAUAAUAAAAGAUCUCAGCUCUUGUGAACAAACGUUGUUCCGAUUAUGUUCAUUUUUUGGACAAUUUUUGGAGCUGUGACUUUAAAGUGAAGAUUGAUCCAAAUCGCGUUUUAUUACGGAUUAUUCUAACGAAGAAAAUCGUGUACAUUUAAUCAUUUACAAACUUUUAAAAAAAUCAGUGUUUAUAAAUGUUUUUUUUUUUUUUUUUUAACGGAAUAAAACUUUCCAAGAAUAUACGUCGCAAUUUCUACAUUCAAUUUGCAUACUCUCGUGGCUUUAAACUUUAUUUUAUCAGAAUUUCAGGAUCUCGUGAAUCAACUGAAGCCUACGGAAAAAAAUCGUAUCGCUCGAUUCAAUUUUGUACCAUUAGAAAUCUUUUUUUUAACAGCCCGCCAGGCGGCGGGCCCUCCAGUAAAGGAAUUGAGGUUUAGAAAAAUGAAGUGGAAACGAUCCUUUUCCCGAAUGUUUGGAAAGUAUCAACAACUAAUUUCGUGAAUAUAGUCUGGAAAUAGCGGGGGCUCAUUAAAGAGUGAAGCGUUUCGAUUACUCCAGCGCAACUUCGUUUCCACUUGAUUCGAAAUAUUGAUUUCGGAAUGGCGAUAAACGGCAAGGAGUUCGUGUUGCGGAGCGUCAAAAUUUCUUACCAAGUAUCACGGCUUUCCAGGAGCCAUUAAAAAAACGAAGAUCUACGUCUUGCUGAGUUUCGGCAGUGAAACCGAGUACGCUGUAGGAGCUGAAGUUCGAUCUUCGUUGACUUUGACGACAUAAUUUUUCUCCUGCUCCCUCUCUCUCUCCAUCUUCGAUUCAAAAUACCACACGGGAAAAUGUUGCCGCAACUUUUCGUUACGUCACCCAAAAACGGGCUGAUCAUCGACUGGUUUUUGUGGCUUUCAGAACCCGAGGCCAUGGCCAGAUCCAAAAAGAGCUUUCAGGCUCGAAAUAAUGGAAAAAACUGUACGAUCUCGAGUGAAAGUCAGCACUUGAAAAACUCGCAUGCGUCUGACGAUUCUAUUCCCAAAACAACAUCUCGAUAAACUCGGACUCGAAGAUUUUCCCUUUUAUUUAAAAAAAUUCGAGUUUUUUCAUCCCGGUGGUUUCGCACGUCAGUAGAAUUUCAUUUUUUCUAUUAUUACGAUUUCGUGAAAUAAAAUGAAAGUAAAAUAAUAAUCCAUGGCACAUUGGACCGCGAGUGCUCUCGAAUCGUCGUAGAAAUAUCGUUUUUUCGUAACUUGUUGCGCAGAUGACCCAAGCACUAUCUCGUAAGGGCUUUGUCGGCCAUGUGUAAAUGCCCUUACAUAGCGUUCCGAGUGAAUACUGCUGACCACGUUUUAAACUCGGCAUUUUCGGGGGAAGACACACAUGGACCGUAAUUCACCGUUAUCGCGCCUCCGCAGUUGUUAUUCUGUUUGAGUUGGAGUGUUAAAAUUCAAGAACACGAGUAUUAAUCACGAUAUCCGGAUCAGCUUUCGUACUGCUGAGCAUUGAUCACCGCGUGCAUCGAUGUUCGACCCGCUGUUGUAGUACAACGUUGUAAAAACCUGAUAAAUCACAAACGUUCGAUACAUUAUUGCUCUUUUGUGAAAAAAAUUCAAAAACGAAACAGAACUCGUGUUUUUUUCGGCAUUUUGUUAUGCAGAGAGAACAAAAUUUAUUUAUCGAGCAAAGUCCGUUUUAUUGGAAGAGAAUAUAAUGGACUUUUUCAUUACAACAUUUUCGUCCAGCUAAUUGGAUUUUGUUUAUCGAAAAAAAUGAAUGGAAACCCUACGAAAAAUCGAGUGCAAUUGUGACUCGAAAAAAUUGGUUUCAGCAAUUCCAAUAAUAAUCGUAACGAGAAAAAUCUGAUAAAUUUCAUUGAAUUAUGAACGAAUAAAAUUUGAUCGAAGCGAGAA
rnacentral:misc_RNA from 1 species